rnacentral:misc_RNA from 1 species
GCGGCUAAGAAGCAGCAAAGUCCGAUACGGAAAAAAAAUCCCCUCUCCCUCUCUUCUUCUUUCUUUGUCCCCUGAACCAAUGAUUUGAUUCAAUGCCCCGGAGCCAGCAACUUUGGAUGGCUCGGCGAUAGCUAUCUGAUUCCUACUAUCAGAGGCGAGUUAGAACCGGAUACAAAGCAAUCUUCUCCAAUGUCAUAUAUUUCUCCUGAUCCCGAUUCCACAGGC